AGUGAACGCUGGCGGCAGGCCUAAUACAUGCAAGUCGAACGGCAGCACAGCAGAGCUUGCUCUGUGGGUGGCGAGUGGCGGACGGGUGAGGAAUACAUGGGAAUCUGCCCAGUCGUGGGGGAUAACGUAUGGAAACGUACGCUAAUACCGCAUGCGCCCUACGGGGGAAAGCCGGGGACCGCAAGGCCUGGCGCGAUUGGAUGAGCCCAUGUUCGAUUAGCUAGUUGGCGGGGUAAAGGCCCACCAAGGCGACGAUCGAUAGCUGGUCUGAGAGGAUGAUCAGCCACACUGGAACUGAGACACGGUCCAGACUCCUACGGGAGGCAGCAGUAGGGAAUAUUGGACAAUGGGGGCAACCCUGAUCCAGCCAUGCCGCGUGUGUGAAGAAGG
rnacentral:rRNA from 1 species